rnacentral:rRNA from 1 species
UAGAGUUUGAUCCUGGCUCACAUUGAACGCUGGCGGCAGGCCUAACACAUGCAAGUCGAGCGGUAACACAGGGAGCUUGCUCCUGGGUGACGAGGGUACCGCGGGUGAGUAAUGUCUGGGAAACUGCCUGAUGGAGGGGGAUUUCUACUGGAAACGGUAGCUAAUACCGCAUAACGUCGCAAGACCAAAGAGGGGGACCUUCGGGCCUCUUGCCAUCAGAUGUGCCCAGAUGGGAUUAGCUAGUAGGUGGGGUAAUGGCUCACCUAGGCGACGAUCCCUAGCUGGUCUGAGAGGAUGACCAGCCACACUGGAACUGAGACACGGUCCAGACUCCUACGGGAGGCAGUAGUGGGGAAUAUUGCACAAUGGGCGCAAGCCUGAUGCAGCCAUGCCGCGUGUAUGAAGAAGGCCUUCGGGUUGUAAAGUACUUUCAGCGAGGAGGAAGGCAUUAAGGUUAAUAACCUUGGUGAUUGACGUUACUCGCAGAAGAAGCACCGGCUAACUCCGUGCCAGCAGCCGCGGUAAUACGGAGGGUGCAAGCGUUAAUCGGAAUUACUGGGCGUAAAGCGCACGCAGGCGGUCUGUCAAGUCGGAUGUGAAAUCCCCGGGCUCAACCUGGGAACUGCAUUCGAAACUGGCAGGCUAGAGUCUUGUAGAGGGGGGUAGAAUUCCAGGUGUAGCGGUGAAAUGCGUAGAGAUCUGGAGGAAUACCGGUGGCGAAGGCGGCCCCCUGGACAAAGACUGACGCUCAGGUGCGAAAGCGUGGGGAGCAAACAGGAUUAGAUACCCCUGGUAGUCCACGCCGUAAACGAUGUCGACUUGGAGGCUGUUCCCUUGAGGAGUGGCUUCCGGAGCUAACGCGUUAAGUCGACCGCCUGGGGGGAGUACGG